rnacentral:rRNA from 1 species
GACGAACGCUGGCGGCGUGCUUAACACAUGCAAGUCGAACGGAAAGGCCCUGCUUUUGUGGGGUGCUCGAGUGGCGAACGGGUGAGUAACACGUGAGUAACCUGCCCUUGACUUUGGGAUAACUUCAGGAAACUGGGGCUAAUACCGGAUAGGAGCUCCUGCUGCUUGGUGGGGGUUGGAAAGUUUCGGCGGUUGGGGAUGGACUCGCGGCUUAUCAGCUUGUUGGUGGGGUAGUGGCUUACCAAGGCUUUGACGGGUAGCCGGCCUGAGAGGGUGACCGGCCACAUUGGGACUGAGAUGAGGCCCAGACUCCUACGGGAGGCAGCAGUGGGGAAUAUUGCACGAUGGGCGGAAGCCUGAUGCAGCAACGCCGCGUGCGGGAUGACGGCCUUCGGGGUGUAAACCGCUUUCGCCUGUGACGAAGCGUGAGUGACGGUAAUGGAUAAAGAAGCAACGGCUAACUACGUG